GAUGAACGCUGGCGGCGUGCCUAAUACAUGCAAGUCGAGCGAACGGACGAGAAGCUUGCUUCUCUGAUGUUAGCGGCGGACGGGUGAGUCACACGUGUAUAACCUACCUAUAAGACUGGGAUAACUUCGGGAAACCGGAGCUAAUACCGGAUAAUAUUUUGAACCGCAUGGUUCAAAAGUGAAAGACGGUCUUGCUGUCACUUAUAGAUGGAUCCGCGCUGCAUUAGCUAGUUGGUAAGGUAACGGCUUACCAAGGCAACGAUGCAUAGCCGACCUGAGAGGGUGAUCGGCCACACUGGAACUGAGACACGGUCCAGACUCCUACGGGAGGCAGCAGUAGGGAAUCUUCGGCAAAGGGCGAAAGCCUGACGGAGCAACGCCGCGUGAGUGAUGAAGGUCUUCGGAUCGUAAAACUCUGUUAGUAGGGAAGAACAUAUGUGUAAGUAACUGUGCACAUCUUGACGUUACCUAAACAGAAAGCCACGGCUAACUACGUG
rnacentral:rRNA from 1 species